AAAUGAAUAGACGGGGGCCCGCACAAGCGGAGGAACAUGUGGUUUAAUUCGAUGAUACGCGAGGAACCUUACCCGGGCUUGAACUGCAGCUGCAUAGUUUAGAGAUAGACUUUCCCUUCGGGGCUGCUGUGGAGGUGCUGCAUGGUUGUCGUCAGCUCGUGCCGUGAGGUGUCGGCUUAAGUGCCAUAACGAGCGCAACCCUUUUUCUUGUUUGCCAUCAGGUUAUGCUGGGCACUCCAAGGAUACUGCCAUCGCAAGAUGUGAGGAAGGUGGGGAUGACGUCAAAUCAGCACGGCCCUUACGUCCGGGGCUACACACGUGUUACAAUGGUAGGUACAGAGAGUUGCUACCUGGUGACAGGAUGCUAAUCUAUAAAACCUAUCUCAGUUCGGACUGGAGUCUGCAACCCGACUCCACGAAGCUGGAUUCGCUAGUAAUCGCGCAUCAGCCAUGGCGCGGUGAAUACGUUCCCGGGCCUUGUACACACCGCCCGU
rnacentral:rRNA from 1 species